AAAUCACAAUGCGGAACAAUGUUUUGCAAUUGGAUUGAGAACAACGUACAAACCUUAUCGAUAAACAAUUGGAGGGCAAGUCUGGUGCCAGCAGCCGCGGUAAUUCCAGCUCCAAUAGCGUAUAUUAACGUUGUUGCAGUUAAAAAGCUCGUAGUUGAAAUGAAGGGUAGUUGUGUAAUGAAUACAUUCGUGUAUUUUGUUAUUCUACUACCCUCCUUCUAAAUUCGAUAUAUGAGUAUUAAUUUACUUGUAUAUGGUUUUAGACGUUUACUGUGAGAAAAUUAGAGUGUUCAAAGCAGGCAUUUGCUUGAAUAUAUUAGCAUGGAAUAAUCAUGUAUGAUUUUCAUGAUGUAUUUGAUUGGUUUGGUUCAUGAGAAUAAGAUUAAAAGGGACAGUUGGGGGUAUUCAUAUUCAAUAGUCAGAGGUGAAAUUCUCGGAUUUAUGGAAGAUGAA
rnacentral:rRNA from 1 species